rnacentral:lncRNA from 1 species
AAAAGAUCGAAGGCAUGUGACUGAACUUGGAUUCUGCACAAGAAGUGAAUGUCAGCAGUGCAGUUUCUCAGUAUCCAAAAUACAAAUGUUCGUCAGGGUCCUGAUUUUCUUCAUGGUGAGUUGAGUUGGAUGUCCAUCAAGAAGUCUGUCUGUUAGUUUUCGGGGGAGAAAAGCUUGUUGGUUUGAAGUUGAAAGAUAGCCGAAUUACACAACUUUGGCAAGGCUCCAACGUUUAUAUAUAGUCGGAGUACUAAUUAUCUGGCUGUUUUGCUUUCUUGCUGUUUGAUUUGUUUCAGUAUGACAGGUUCUAGUAAGGUUGAUUUGUUUCAUCAACCUAGCCAAUCACAGAAGCUAGUAAGGACCCCGGAUUUUUCAGGUACCAGUAAUCUUGAAAGUGUUAAGGUUUUGAUUCUAUCAGCCUGCUUAAAACUCGAAAAGUUCCUGAAAAAAUAGAAGAAGAAAUGAAUCGCUUUUCAAAAGUGUACUUGGAUGGAGCUUCUUUGGGAGAGGUACGCGCAUCACUUGAGAACCUUCCAGGGGUUAGCUUGAAUAUUUGAUAAAUCUUAGUUACUGCAAGCAUCUUGAGAAUCUCCCAAGCAGUAUUUUUAGAUUGAAGUGUCUUAAGAACACUUGCUCUAUUCGGGUGCUCAAGACUCGAAAAAAUAUCAGAUGAUGUGGGACUUUUAACGGGCUUAGAGGAGCUCCGCUGUGAUGGCACAGCCAUCCGAACACUUGUCUUUUCGUGGAUGUAAUGCUUUGGGUUUACAAGUAAACAGCUCAUUCUUCUCCUUUUGGCUUCCAGGAAAAGGUCAAAACUCCACGGGUCUAAUUUAUCGAGUCUUUGUUCAUUGACAAUGCUUGAUACUAGUCACUGCAAUAUCUCAGACAGAGGCUGGAGGCACCCUAUGUAAUCUUGUGUACUUAUCAUCUUUGUGGUAACAGCUUUACCAAUAUUCCAGCUGCAAGCAUCAGUGAUCUAACUGAGCUACUUGCGCCGAGUUCACCUUGGACGUGGUUGAUACAAUUAUGGAAUAACAUGCUCAAGGUAACUGCAGAAUGACAGGCAAAUUACAUUCCUUUAAUGGAGAUAUAUCUGUGGAUUCAGACUAACUGAGCUGUGUUUUAAAGUCAGCAGCAGAUCCACAAAGCAGGAAUUUGAGUUAGACGAUAGGAUUCAGUCUGGUUCUCUUGCCAGGAUAGGCCUUGGGACGGAGCUAGCAUGGAAAGUACGGGCCAGAAUUCAGUUACUUCGGAGCAAAUCCUGUAUAUAUUUGUUCAUUGAAUAUCUAUAUCUUUAAAUUUUGGAUUCACCUCUAAUCGUAAGUGAAUGUAUGAUCCAGAAGAAAACAUGUCAAGUUCUUCAAUGUGCAGAGAGAUUGUUGUUUGUCAAAUUACACCUCUUAUUCAACUGGUUUAUCUUGUUCAAGAGUUCUUGGUAAGUAACUUUCUAUAAUCUAUUGUUGUUGUAUUCAAAUGUACCUUGUCAUAUAAAUUCAUCCUCAAGUUUUAUUUUUUUGCUUGUUUCCUAUUUUCUUUUCAUUGAAUGGACUAUUUUUAUUAG